rnacentral:rRNA from 1 species
GACGAACGCUGGCGGCGUGCUUAACACAUGCAAGUCGAACGUGUUUUUUGUGCUAAUUCUUUCGGUCAUGGACAUGAAAUGAAAUUGGCGAACGGGUGCGUAACACUUGAGCAGCCUACCUUACACAGGGGGAUAGCCGUUGCAAACGACUAUUAAUACCGCAUGAGACCACAGAAUCGCAUGCUAUCUGGGUGAUAGAUUUAUCGGUGUAAGAGGGGCUGGCGUCUGAUUAGCUAGUUGGAAGGGUAAAGGCCUACCAAAGCGACGAUCAGUAGCCGGUCUGAGAGGAAGAGCCGAGACAUUGGAGGUGGGACGCGGUCGAAAAUCCUGCGGGAGGGGGCAGUGGGGAAUAUAGCACAGUGGGGGGAAUGAUGAAGGAGCGACGCUGGGUGAGCGAAGAAGGUUGUGAAAUAGGAAAGCAAGGUAAUAUGAGAAGGUAAUGACGGUACCAAAAGAGGAAGCCCCGGCUAAAUACGUG